rnacentral:tRNA from 1 species
GUCGUCGUGGCCGAGUGGUUAAGGCGACAGACUCGAAAUCUUUUGGGCUCUGCCCGCACAGGUUCGAAACCUGUCGGCGACG